rnacentral:rRNA from 1 species
UACGUAGGGUGCGAGCGUUGUCCGGAAUUAUUGGGCGUAAAGAGCUUGUAGGCGGUUUGUCGCGUCUGCUGUGAAAAUCCGGGGCUCAACCCCGGACUUGCAGUGGUUACGGGCAGACUAGAGUGUGGUAGGGGAGACUGGAAUUCCUGGUGUAGCGGUGGAAUGCGCAGAUAUCAGGAGGAACACCGAUGGCGAAGGCAGGUCUCUGGGCCACUACUGACGCUGAGAAGCGAAAGCAUGGGGAGCGAACAGG